CAGGCGGUUAGAUAAGUNUGAAGUUAAAGGCUGUGGCUUAACCAUAGUACGCUUUGGAAACUGUUUAACUUGAGUGCAGAAGGGGAGAGUGGAAUUCCAUGUGUAGCGGUGAAAUGCGUAGAUAUAUGGAGGANCACCGGUGGCGAAAGCGGCUCUCUGGUCUGUAACUGACGCUGAGGCUCGAAAGCGUGNGGAGCGAACAGGAUUAGAUACCCUGGUAGUNCACGCCGUAAACGAUGAGUGCUAGGUGUUAGGCCCUUUCCGGGGCUUAGUGCCGCAGCUAACGCAUUAAGCACUCCGCCUGGGGAGUACGACCGCAAGGUUGAAACUCAAAGGAAUUGACGGGGGCCCGCACAAGCGGUGGAGCAUGUGGUUUAAUUCGAAGCAACGCGAAGAACCUUACCAGGUCUUGACAUCCCGAUGCCCGCUCUAGAGAUAGAGUUUUACUUCGGUACAUCGGUGACAGGUGGUACAUGGUUGUCGUCAGCUCGUGUCGUGAGAUGUUGGGUUAAGUCCCGCAACGAGCGCAACCCUUAUUGUUAGUUGCCAUCAUUCAGUUGGGCACUCUAGCGAGACUGCCGGUAAUAAACCGGAGGAAGGUGGGGAUGACGUCAAAUCAUCAUGCCCCUUAUGACCUGGGCUACACACGUGCUACAAUGGCUGGUACAACGAGUCGCAAGUCGGUGACGGCAAGCUAAUCUCUUAAAGCCAGUCUCAGUUCAGAUUGUAGGCUGCAACUCGCCUACAUGAAGUCGGAAUCGCUAGUAAUCGCGGAUCAGCACGCCGCGGUGAAUACGUUCCCGGGCCUUGUACACACCGCCCGUCACACCACGAGAGUUUGUAACACCCGAAGUCGGUGAGGUAACCUUUUA
rnacentral:rRNA from 1 species